AUACUUACCUGGCAGGGGAGAUUCUAUGGCCACGAAAGUGGUUUUCCCAGGUCAAGGCUUAUUCAUUGCACUCCAGAUGUGCUGACCCCUCAAUUUCCCCAAAUGUGGGAAACUCUGACAGCAUAAUUUGUGGUAGUGGGGGAAUGUAUUCACGCUUUCCCCAC